rnacentral:tRNA from 1 species
UUAAGAAUAAACUAUUUAAGUUGAUUUAUUGUUAAUAAAUUCAUGAUGUAUAUCUUCUUAAU